GGAGUCUAGCAUGUGCGCGAGUCAUUGGGACCGAACGAAACCUAAAGGCAAAAUGAAAGUGAAGGUCCGCCCAGUGCGGACCUAAGGAGGAUGGGCGGCCGUUACGGUUGCCGCCCCGCACUCCCGGGGCGUCUCGCUCUCAUUGCGAGAAGAGGCGCACCAAGAGCGUACACGCUGGGACCCGAAAGAUGGUGAACUAUGCCUGGUCAGGACGAAGUCAGGGGAAACCCUGAUGGAGGUCCGUAGCGAUUCUGACGUGCAAAUCGAUCGUCGGAACUGGGUAUAGGGGCGAAAGACUAAUCGAACCAUCUAGUAGCUGGUUCCCUCCGAAGUUUCCCUCAGGAUAGCUGGCGCUUUUUGCGCACGAGUUUCAUCCGGUAAAGCGAAUGAUUAGAGGCAUUGGGGUCGAAACGGCCUCAACCUAUUCUCAAACUUUAAAUGGGUGAGAUCUCCGGCUUGCUCGAAGAACAAAUGACACACGCGCGCGUUCUCGGUCUCGAUCGUUUUUCGCGCUGCCGUGUGUCGUUCUGAAGCCGCGAGAAGAAUCAGAGUGCCAAGUGGGCCAUUUUUGGUAAGCAGAACUGGCGCUGUGGGAUGAACCAAACGUAGAGUUAAAGCGCCAAAAUCGACGCUUAUGGGAUACCAUGAAAGGCGUUGGUAACUUAAGACAUCAGGACGGUGGCCAUGGAAGUC
rnacentral:rRNA from 1 species